AAGCUCGUAGUUGAAUUUCGGGGUUAGUAGGUUGGUCAUGCCUCUGGUAUGUACUGGUCUCACUGAUUCCUCCUUCCUUAUGAACCGUAAUGCCAUUAAUUUGGUGUUGCGGGGGAAUUUGGACUGUUACUUUGAAAAAACUUAGAGUGUUUAAAAGCAAGCUAACGCUUGAAUACAUUAGCAUGGAAUAAUGUAAUAGGACGUUCGAUCUUAUUUUAGUUGGUUUCUAGGAUUGACGUAAUGAUUAAUAGGGAUAGUUGGG
rnacentral:rRNA from 1 species